AGACUUACUUGGCAGGGGGAAUACCACAAUCAAGAAGGUGGUUUCCCCAGGGUGAGGCUCUUCCAUUACACAUUUCAGCUGGUUUGACCCCUUUGAUUUCCCUACAUGUGGGAAACCCAACUGCAUAAUUUCUGGUAUAUAUGUCUAUAUGUUGUUAUGUCUAAUA